rnacentral:ribozyme from 1 species
AACAGAGCGCUUAUGUGCUUUGACUAAGUCCUCCUGAAGUCUUCCUGAAGUUCAACUUCUAUUCCGACACGUCCACGUCGUGCAGGGUGGUAACAUGGGCAUAAGUCCAUCCUUUCGGGCGGACGACGGCUCAUGGCUAAGGAGGAAGGG